rnacentral:rRNA from 1 species
GUAAAGUGCCGACGGGUGAUUAACGCGUGGGUAAUCUACCCUCGAAUCGGGGAUAACUCCGCGCAAGCGGGGCUAAUACCGGAUAAUUUCUCUUUUGUUUCGACUUUUGAGAUCAAAGAUGGCCUCCACAUGUAACCUAUUGUUUGGGGAUGAGCCCGCGUACCAUUAGCUAGUUGGGAGGGUAAUGGCCUACCAAGGCUACGAUGGUUAGCUGGUCUGAGAGGAUGAUCACCCGCACUGGACCUGACACACGGUCCAGACUCCUACGGGAGGCAGCAGUGAGGAAUUUUGCGCAAUGGGGGAAACCCUGACGCAACAACCCCGCGUGAGUGAUGAACGCUUUCGGGUCGAAAAGCUCUGUCAAGUGGGAAGAACGUAUAUAGGAAUAAUACUUUUAUGUAUUGACGGUACCACUGAAGGAAGCACCGGCUAACUCCGUGCCAGCAGCCGCGGUAAUACGGGGGGUGCUAGCGUUAUUCGGAUUUACUGGGCGUAAAGGGCGCGCAUGCGGUCUCUCAAGUCUCAUGUGAAAGCCCGGGGCUCAACCCCGGAAGUGCAUUUGAUACUAANAGACUUGAGUAUGGGAGAGGGAAGUGUAAUUCCUGGUGUAUCUGGUGAAAUGACGUAGAUAUCAGGAGGAACACCUGUGGCAAUGCGACUUCCUGGACUAUACUGACGCUGAGCGCGACGCGUGCGGAGCAACAGGAUUACAUACCUGGAAGUACCACUCAGUAACGGUGAUCACUAUGU